rnacentral:rRNA from 1 species
UACGUAGGGCGCAAGCGUUGUCCGGAUUCACUGGGUUUAAAGGGUGCGUAGGUGGGCAGGUAAGUCAGUGGUGAAAUCUCCGGGCUUAACUCGGAAAGGUCAACUGAUACUGUGCGACUAGAGUGCAGAAGGGGCAACUGGAAUUCUCGGUGUAGCGGUGAAAUGCGUAGAUAUCGAGAGGAACACCUGCGGCGAAGGCGGGUUGCUGGGCUGACACUGACGCUGAUGCGCGAAAGCCAGGGGAGCGAACGGG